rnacentral:rRNA from 1 species
CGGUAAACAAAGGGAAAGGCAGCCCUGUGAAGGUGAGCAAAUCCCAAAAAUAAACGUCCCAGUUCGGAUUGUAGUCUGCAACCCGACUACAUGAAGCUGGAAUCGCUAGUAAUCGCGGAUCAGAAUGCCGCGGUGAAUACGUUCCCGGGUCUUGUACACACCGCCCGUCACACCAUGGGAGUCGGAAAUGCCCGAAGCCGGUGACUCAACCUUUAAGGAGAGAGCCGUCGAAGGCAGGUCUGAUAACUGGGGUGAAGUCGUAACAAGGUAGC